rnacentral:tRNA from 1 species
AGAGGCUAUGGCUCAAUGGGAGAGUCUCUGCUUUGUGUGCAGAAGGAUCCUAGUUCAAUCCCUGAUAUCUCCA